GAUGAACGCUGGCGGCGUGCCUAAUACAUGCAAGUCGAGCGAACAGACGAGGAGCUUGCUCCUCUGACGUUAGCGGCGGACGGGUGAGUAGCACGUGGAUAACCUACCUAUAAGACUGGGAUAACUUCGGGAAACCGGAGCUAAUACCGGAUAAUAUAUUGAACCGCAUGGUUCAAUAGUGAAAGACGGUUUUGCUGUCACUUAUAGAUGGAUCCGCGCCGCAUUAGCUAGUUGGUAAGGUAACGGCUUACCAAGGCAACGAUGCGUAGCCGACCUGAGAGGGUGAUCGGCCACACUGGAACUGAGACACGGUCCAGACUCCUACGGGAGGCAGCAGUAGGGAAUCUUCCGCAAAGGGCGAAAGCUUGACGGAGCAACGCCGCGUGAGUGAUGAAGGUCUUCGGAUCGUAAAACUCUGUUAUUAGGGAAGAACAAAUGUGUAAGUAACUAUGCACGUCUUGACGGUACCUAAUCAGAAAGCCACGGCUAACUACGUG
rnacentral:rRNA from 1 species